CGUUACCAAACUGUUGCCUCGGCGGGAUCUCUGCCCCGGGUGCGUCGCAGCCCCGGACCAAGGCGCCCGCCGGAGGACCAACCAAAACUCUUAUUGUAUACCCCCUCGCGGGUUUUUUUUUAUAAUCUGAGCCUUCUCGGCGCCUCUCGUAGGCGUUUCGAAAAUGAAUCAAAACUUUCAACAACGGAUCUCUUGGUUCUGGCAUCGAUGAAGAACGCAGCGAAAUGCGAUAAGUAAUGUGAAUUGCAGAAUUCAGUGAAUCAUCGAAUCUUUGAACGCACAUUGCGCCCGCCAGUAUUCUGGCGGGCAUGCCUGUCCGAGCGUCAUUUCAACCCUCGAACCCCUCCGGGGGGUCGGCGUUGGGGAUCGGCCCUGCCUUGGCGGUGGCCGUCUCCGAAAUACAGUGGCGGUCUCGCCGCAGCCUCUCCUGCGCAGUAGUUUGCACACUCGCAUCGGGAGCGCGGCGCGUCCACAGCCGUUAAACACCCAACUUCUGAAAUGUUGACCUCGGAUCAGGUAGGAAUACCCGCUGAACUUAA
rnacentral:rRNA from 1 species